rnacentral:rRNA from 1 species
AUGGUGCGAUCUAUGAUGUCUCUUAACGAUCUACCGCUCUCAUUUUGGGGCUAUGCUUUAGAGACUGCCGCAUUCACUUUAAAUAGGGCUCCGUUGAAAUCCGUUGAGACAACACCGUAUGAAUUAUGGUUUGGGAAGAAACCUAAGCUGUCGUUUCUAAAAAUUUGGGGAUGCGAUGCUUAUGUCAAGAAACUUCAACCUGAAAAGCUCGAACCCAAUUCGGAAAAAUGCGUCUUCAUAGGAUACCCUAAGGAAACUAUUGGGUAUACCUUCUACCUCAGAUCCGAAGGCAAGAUCUUUGUUGCCAAGAAUGGGUCCUUUCUGGAGAAAGAGUUUCUCUCGAAAGAAUUGAGUGGGAGGAAAGUGGAACUUGAUGAGGUGAUAGUCAUCCCUUCCGAACCGGAAAGUAGCGCAACGCGGGAAGAUGUUCCUGUGGUGCCUACACCGACUGGGGAGGAAGUUAAUGAUGAUGAUCAUGAAGCUUCAGAUCAAGUUACUACUGAACUUCGUAGGUCCACAAGGACACGUUCCGCACCAGAGUGGUACGACAACCCUGUCCUGGAAAUCAUGUUGUUGGACAACGGUGAACCUUCGAACUAUGAAGAAGCGAUGGCGGGCCCGGAUUCCGACAAAUGGCUAGAAGCCAUGAAAUCCGAGAUAGGAUCCAUGUAUGAAAACGAAGUAUGGACUUUGACUGACUUGCCCGAUGAUCGGCGAGCCAUAGAAAAUAAAUGGAUCUUUAAGAAGAAGACAGACGCGCAUGGUAAUGUGACCAUCUAUAAGGCUCGACUUGUCGCUAAGGGUUAUCGACAAGUUCAAGGGGUUGACUACGAUGAGACUUUCUCACCCGUAGCGAAGCUGAAGUCCGUCCGAAUCAUGUUAGCAAUUGCCGCAUUCUACGAUUAUGAGAUAUGGCAAAUGGACGUCAAAACGGCAUUCCUUGACGGCUUUCUUAAGGAAGAAUUGUAUAUGAUGCAGCCGGAAGGUUUUGUCGAUCCUAAGAAUGCUAACAAGGUAUGCAAGCUCCAGCGCUCCAUCUAUGGGCUGGUGCAAGCAUCUCGGAGUUGGAACAUUCGUUUUGAUGAGAUGAUCAAAGCGUUUGGGUUUACACAGACUUAUGGAGAAGCCUGUGUUUACAAGAAAGUGAGUGGGAGCUCUGUAGCAUUUCUCUUAUUAUAUGUGGAUGACAUACUAUUGAUGGGAAAUGAUAUAGAAUUCUUGGAAAGUAUAAAGGCCUAUUUGAAUAAGUGUUUUUCAAUGAAGGACCUCGGAGAAGCUGCUUAUAUAUUAGGCAUCAAGAUCUAUAGAGAUAGAUCAAGACGCCUCAUUGGUCUUUCACAGAGUACGUACCUUGACAAGAUAUUGAAGAAGUUCAAUAUGGAUCAGUCCAAGAAGGGGUUCUUGCAUGUAUUGCAAGGUGUGCAAUUGAGCACGGCUCAAUGCCCGACCACGGCAGAAGAUAGAGAAAAGAUGAGUGUCAUCCCCUAUGCCUCGGCCAUAGGGUCUAUUAUGUAUGCCAUGCUGUGUACCAGACCUGAUGUAAACCUUGCCGUAAGUUUGGUAGGAAGGUACCAAAGUAAUCCCGGCAUGGAACACUGGACAGCGGUCAAGAAUAUCCUGAAGUACCUGAAGAGGACUAAGGAUAUGUUUCUCGUUUAUGGAGGUGACGAAGAGCUCGUCGUAAAGGGUUACGUCGACGCUAGCUUCGACACAGAUCUGGAUGACUCGAAGUCACAAACCGGAUACGUGUAUAUUUUGAAUGGAGGGGCAGUAAGCUGGUGCAGUUGCAAGCAAAGCGUCGUGGCGGGAUCUACAUGUGAAGCGGAGUACAUGGCAGCCUCAGAGGCAGCGCAAGAAGCAGUCUGGAUGAAGGAGUUCAUUACCGACCUAGGGGUGAUACCCAGUGCGUCGGGCCCGAUGACUCUCUUCUGUGACAACACUGGAGCUAUUGCCCUUGCCAAGGAGCCCAGGUUUCAAAGGAAGACCAGGCAUAUCAAGCGUCGCUUCAACUCCAUUCGUGAAAGUGUUCAAAAUGGAGACAUAGAUAUUUGUAAAGUACAUACGGACCUGAAUGUAGCAGAUCCGUUGACUAAACCUCUCCCUAGAGCAAAACAUGAUCAACACCAGGACGCUAUGGGUGUU